rnacentral:rRNA from 1 species
UGGGGAAUAUUGCACAAUGGGCGCAAGCCUGAUGCAGCCAUGCCGCGUGUGUGAAGAAGGCCUUCGGGUUGUAAAGCACUUUCAGCGAGGAGGAAGGGUAGUGUGUUAAUAGCACAUUGCAUUGACGUUACUCGCAGAAGAAGCACCGGCUAACUCCGUGCCAGCAGCCGCGGUAAUACGGAGGGUGCAAGCGUUAAUCGGAAUUACUGGGCGCAAAGCGCACGCAGGCGGUUUGUUAAGUCAGAUGUGAAAUCCCCGCGCUUAACGUGGGAACUGCAUUUGAAACUGGCAAGCUAGAGUCUUGUAGAGGGGGGUAGAAUUCCAGGUGUAGCGGUGAAAUGCGUAGAGAUCUGGAGGAAUACCGGUGGCGAAGGCGGCCCCCUGGACAAAGACUGACGCUCAGGUGCGAAAGCGUGGGGAGCAAACA